rnacentral:miRNA from 1 species
UGAGCAUAUCCAAAUCGGGAGCC